GAGCUCGCUCUGGCAGUACGUGCACUAAAAUUGGACCGAUACAGAGAUUAGCAUGGGCCCCACGCACGAAUGACAACGCAAAUUUAUGAAGCAUUGCGUAUUUUG